rnacentral:lncRNA from 1 species
AGAGGGUGAGAAGCGCUGGGCCGGACCAGAACUGUCUUAGCUUUUCCCUCUGCGGCUGCUCUGGUUGGUUACUUUGAGCCUGCCUCCUCAGCGCCGCAGGAGAGACUUAACAGCAAAAAUGACUGUGUCCUGAGUUCAGCCCCCACUGCUCUGGGAGCUUCCCCCUGGUUUCUGCACCUGAAGAAUGUCAUCCCAGCCGAAGGUUCUUAGGAGCGGGGAGCGACAAAGAAAAACAAAGAAAAGCAGACCUGAAAAUUGGGACCUGGGAGAAAUAGACGAGUGCUCUAAACCAGUAUCAUGGCUCCAGUUCCUCUGACAAGGAUUCACAUGGGGUUGCAAUUCUGACUGUGCUGGUGAUGCUGGUUCCAGGUCCCUCAGGAACCCCUCCCCCAGUCUGGUCUGCCCUUGAACUCUAUACUGGCCCCAGGGUAUCCCAGGAUUGUCAGAAAGGCCUGGCCAGGAUUCACCUGGGAGAGGGAUCAGCAUCUCUGCAAAGUUGUUGGAUUGAAAGAACUUUCAUUUUGAGCUACAUCAUUGAAGAGCUUUAAAUCUGAAAAUAAGAAAGACGUUGAACCCUAUUACUCACAUCUCUUUGUCAUUUGAAGCAGAUCCCGAACCACUCAAAAGGACAAAACAAGGAAAUAGCAAUGAAAUUGGAUUCAGUGAAUGGGGUAAGGGUAUUAAGUGUCUGAAAUAUAAGAGAUAAAAAAAUUAGUUUUUACCUUUUUUUCUAUUUUCUAAAUGUUUUGGUGGCUAGAAUAAGAUAUACUUUGAACUCAAGAGCAAUAAAUGUUAAUAUAUUAAAAGUAGCUUUAUGAAAUAUGGAAAGUAUCUUUAUUUCAAAAUACUUCAAAGUAAUCAUCUGAAUAUUUAUCAGAAAUAUUAAGACAACUUAUUAAAUCCUGUAUUAAAAUGAUUGCUUAUUACUUUUUGUUUAUACUAGUCAGAAGUGAUUCUCUUCCACAUUUUAGAUUUUUCAGAGUAAAAAGGAUAUAAUUUUAGACUUUCAAUUGAAUAUAAACUGGGGUUUUUCCACACGAUUUGUGGACAUGGCUGUCUGAUGGUGACUCUUAGGUAUUUAUGCUAAAAAUGUUAUUUUGGGGAUCCUUGGGAAUGGACUCUGAUAUUUAUUUAUUUAUUUAUUUAUUUAUUUAUUUAUUUAUUUAUUUUGAGGCG